AGACAGUUAAUUCAGAGAGGGAAGAUGUGCCUCUUCCCAGGGGGCUGAAGUACCAUUAAUGGAGGAAAAGCUUUCACAAGGGUAGCCUUCUUUCCUGGGUAACCUUCCCAGUAGUUUGGGGGAGGGCAUGGAGCCAGCCCACAAAGGGGUUCAAGGGCAGGGCACUGGGAGCUGAAGAAAGAAGAGGUCAGUGCCACUGCAGACCUGCUCUAGUUCACAACAGAGUAAUAGAAAAACAAGAAGAUAAGAAGAAAAAGCAGUGGAUCUCUAUGACCUUUGCACAUUGGGACGUGAGUGGAAAGUCAAAGAGAGCUUUUGCUAUCUCCAUGCAACUUCAUGAGGUGAGACAAAGAAGAACUAUUGGGAAAAGAAAAAACACCAGUGAACUGAACAGCUAUUGGAAUUUCUAGAGGCCUGGAAGGUGAUUUCGUUGCAACCAACCAGAAUGGAGCAGCAACUUCUUCAUCUACAUCAGAAGGCGUUCCUCACCAAUGGAGCUCAAAGCUCUGGGAAGGAUGCACCUGGAGCACCAAGACCAGGAGGGAGGAAGGAAGGAAACUCUGGCUGAACAGGUGGACCUGAACACUAUUGACUUUGUCAAUAAAGGGAAAAGCUACAAAAGCCAGAGCUUUUCCUCAUAUCACAUCUUUUACCUCAGAAUUUCUAUCUUGCUUCAAUAAGAAACUUAACGUCUAAUUUAAUCAGGGUGGAGAAAGAAGUCUUGAAUAUAAAGUUGUGGAGUGUCUCCUAGCACUGUAAGGACAAGAAUAAUGUUGGAAUAUGCAAAGGCAUCAUGUAGCAGUCAAAUGAGGCUUAACUCUGAGUCUUACAGAUGUGACUUUUGGGUCUUCCAGGUGUUUCCUGUUGGUGCAGAAAGAUGGAUCACAACGGGGUCUGAGCUAAGCAAUCAGUGCAGGGGAUCAAGAAUGGGGUAGUGAGCUAUAAAAGAACUUAGUCAUUUCAUGAAUUCUGGAAACUCAAAAGGCCCACCUGAUGAUGGCCCUGCCCUUGAAGCAGCAUCAUUGCCCCCAAGGUCCUGGAUGGAAGCCACAUUCCUGAGUCCCUGGGGAGCAGCAGCUUGGCCUGCUGAAACUGAGGAGUUGGCCCUGCUUUCUAGAACUGAAGAGGAGGCAGCCUUGCUUUCUGGAUUAUUCUCCCCACUUUUUGAAGGAUAAUGUAUGUUCGCAGCCAAUAGCACUAUUGUCUUGUUCUGUAGCAUUCCAGAAAUUCAACAAUUUUACUUCAUUUCAACUCUUCUCUGUUCCUUUCAGUUCAAGCUAGUAACAUUUCUGCUGAUUUGGUUGAUUGGAUCCAUUAGUGUCUGUUUGGCCAAUAGUGUUAUUCAAAGUCUACCAUCUUUGUCAAAUUAUCUGUCUGGUUGUUGUAUCCAUUAUUCAAAAUGAAGUAUUGAACUCCUCUACUAUUAUUGAAUUGCUAUUUCUCCUGAAUGUUCUGCCAACACAAGUGAAUUUAUUGUAAAUAGUAUAUAGCCAGACAUUGUGUAUUUAAUCUAUUCAGCCGCUCUAUUUUUUUUUAACUAGGGAGUUUAACUCA